UACAGAGGGUGCGAGCGUUGUUCGGAAUUACUGGGCGUAAAGGGCGCGUAGGCGGCCCGCUAAGUCGAACGUGAAAUCCCUGGGCUCAACCCAGGAACUGCGUCCGAUACUGGCAGGCUUGAAUCCGGGAGAGGGAUGCGGAAUUCCAGGUGUAGCGGUGAAAUGCGUAGAUAUCUGGAGGAACACCGGUGGCGAAGGCGGCAUCCUGGACCGGCAUUGACGCUGAGGCGCGAAAGCUAGGGGAGCAAACGGG
rnacentral:rRNA from 1 species